UACAGAGGGUGCAAGCGUUAAUCGGAAUUACUGGGCGUAAAGCGCGCGUAGGCGGUUAUUUAAGUCGGGUGUGAAAGCCCCGGGCUCAACCUGGGAAUUGCAUCCGAUACUGAGUGACUAGAGUAUGAGAGAGGGAGGUAGAAUUCCACGUGUAGCGGUGAAAUGCGUAGAUAUGUGGAGGAAUACCGGUGGCGAAGGCGGCCUCCUGGCUUAAUACUGACGCUGAGGUGCGAAAGCGUGGGGAUCAAAC
rnacentral:rRNA from 1 species